rnacentral:rRNA from 1 species
AGUGAACGCUGGCGGCAGGCCUAAUACAUGCAAGUCGAACGGCAGCACAGUGGAGCUUGCUCCAUGGGUGGCGAGUGGCGGACGGGUGAGGAAUACAUGGGAAUCUGCCCAGUCGUGGGGGAUAACGUAUGGAAACGUACGCUAAUACCGCAUGCGCCCUUCGGGGGAAAGUCGGGGACCGCAAGGCCUGACGCGAUUGGAUGAGCCCAUGUUCGAUUAGCUAGUUGGCGGGGUAACGGCCCACCAAGGCGACGAUCGAUAGCUGGUCUGAGAGGAUGAUCAGCCACACUGGAACUGAGACACGGUCCAGACUCCUACGGGAGGCAGCAGUGGGGGAAUUUUGGACAAUGGGCGCAAGCCUGAUCCAGCCAUGCCGCGUGAGCGAUGAAGGCCUUAGGGUUGUAAAGCUCUUUCAGUGGGGAAGAUAAUGACUGUACCCACAGAAGAAGCCCCGGCUAACUCCGUCG